rnacentral:lncRNA from 1 species
UUGUUUUGUUUUUUAUAAGAGGCUUAUUCUCAAUUAUAUGAAUUAUUCAGGUCCUUGUUUUCCCCUGUUUCUCCUGCAAUCAAGUCUUGCAUUAUUUUACUUUUCAUUAGCAGAUUCCAAGCAUAAAAGUAAUUGGCAGAAAUAUCACAAGGGGACAAAGCAAGAAAAUUGACUACAAAUCCAUUUUUAAUUUCUGUACAUCAAAACCAUAAUGAAAUUUAAAAUUGUUCAAAAUCUGGGAGAUAAAUUUUCUAUGAAAGAGUUAAAUAGUUAAUAUUCAUAAUAUAAAAGGGCUCGUACAAACUGAUAUCACCAAAAACACUCUGGAAAAAUAGAACAUAGUUUACUACAAAAACCCAAGUUGCUGACAUAUUUAGAAAUAUGAUAAAUGAUCAACUUCAUGAAAAGAAUCAGAGGAAUAUGAAUUUAAAUGAGCAUGUUUUUUUUCCUUCCACAAAAUUAGCAAAGCUUCCUCCUUUAUGAAAGCAAAUGGUAAAAUGCUGCGGUGGCAAGGGCAGAUGAAAAGGUACUCCCCUGAUGGUUGGAAAGGGUCUGGCAAGUCUACAUCAGGGGCCUUUGAAACUUCAUGAAAAUUUGACUGGAAGGAAACACCAAAAUGCUAAUAAUUAUCUCCAGAGACUAAAUACAGAUGUUUUUCAUCUUAUUUAUAUUUUACUAUUGAAACUUGUGCGUAUAUACCAAAUAUUUUAAUAGUGAUUUUAUUUUAAACAUGAGGAUGAAUAAAUAAGGCUACAUUUACUUUAUAAACAAUAGGCCAUGCAUUUUAACGGUCUUUUUUUUUUUUUUUUUUUUUUUUGGGCUUUUGUUUUUUUUUUUUUUUUUUUUUUUUUUUUUUUUUUUUUUUUUUUUUUUUUGUUUUUUUUUUUUUUUUUUUUUAGUUGGGCUAAUAGUUUGUUCUUACCAUUUUACUUUGUUUUUUUCCAGGGAAUCUUGGACAUUGUAAUCCUAAGUAAAGGAUUUACAAAAAAUGAUUUUGCCAUCCAUACACUAAAAAAUAACUUUGAAGCAGAUGCUUAUUUUGUUAAAGUCAUUGUUCUUAGUGGUCUGUGUUCUAAUGACUGUCCUCGUAAGAUAACACCCUUUGGAGUGAAUCAACCUGGACCUUAUAUCAUGUAUACAACUGUAGAUGCAAAUGGGUAUCUGAAAAAUGGAUCAGCUGGCCAACUCAGCCAAUCCGCACAUUUAGCUCUUCAACUACCAUACAACGUGCUUGGAUUAGGUCGGAGUGCAAAUUUUCUUGACCAUCUCUAUGUUGGUAUUCCCCGUCCAUCUGGAGAAAAAUCUGUACGAAAACAAGAGUGGACUGCAAUCAUUCCAAAUUCCCAGCUAAUUGUCAUUCCAUACCCUCAUAAUGUCCCUCGAAGUUGGAGUGCCAAACUGUAUCUUACACCAAGUAACAUUGUUCUGCUUACUGCUAUAGCUCUCAUCGGUGUGUGUGUUUUCAUCUUGGCAAUAAUUGGCAUUUUACAUUGGCAGGAAAAGAAAGCAGAUGAUAGAGAAAAACGACAAGAAGCCCACCGGUUUCAUUUUGAUGCUAUGUGACUUGCCUUUAAUAUUACAUAAUGGAAUGGCUGUUCACUUGAUUAGUUGAAACACAAAUUCUGGCUUAAAAAAGAAAAUAGGGGAGAUUAAAUAUUAUUUAUGAAUGAUGUAGCCCUUGGUAAUUAUUGGAAAGUAUUCAAAUAAAUAUGGUUUGAAUAUGUCACAAGGUCUUUUUUUUUAAGCACUUUGUAUAUAAAUUUGGAUUCUUUAUUCCUUAGUGCUGUACAUUUUUGUUCCUUUGUGGAAUGUGUUGCAUGUAUUCCAGUGUUUGUGAUUUAUAAUCUUAUUAGAGUCAUGAUGAUGGAAAAAGACAUGUAAAUAAAAAUAUUUAAAUGAGCAGGAAUUUUUGUGUCCACUUGGCUUGGUCUUGCUUCUUAUUCUAAUGAUGCAAAUUACACUUUUGUGAAUAUAUCACAGUUAUUAUGCAUUUAGCUUCAUCGCAGCAGGUCAGGGGUCUCUCACUGAUGGCAUUCAAUAUAGUGAUCGGGUACUCUGACUUUGUAUCACAGUAAGACAGACUUGCCUUAAACUCCUAAUUCCCCCACUUACAAAGUCAUUGUUUGGAUUUGGCUUUUGUUUAACUUCUCUAAGCCUCAGUUUUCUUGUUUAUUCAGUAGGGCUAAUAAUACUUGAGUUAUUGUAAACAUUAAAUGGGAUGAUAUAUAGCUUGGUGCCUAGCACAGAGUAAGUGCUCAAUACAUGGUAGUUGUCAUUAUUACUAUUUUAGAUGAUGUUAUUAGACUUAUACAUCUAAUUAUAGAAAUAUACAAACUUGAUAGAAUUUUAUUUUCAGGCAUGAGGAAAUAAUAGUCUUUGGAAAAGCCAAAUUCUUGAUGAUUGACAUCUAUAAAGAUUUACUUGCUCAUAUUAACUAAAAAUUAUAGUACUCUCCAAGAAUUAAUGUGCCCUAAAAAUUUUCCUCUGAAAACUGAUCCUUAUCAUGUGAUAAUGAAGAACAUUUGAUUUCUUGAAAGGAAACUGCUGUAGGCAGCAUCUGGGAAUGCAAAUCUUCAAUCACAUUUCUAUUCUCAAAGGCUUGGAGAAGUCUAUAAUUUCCUAUCAGACUUCAAUGCAAAUUUUAUAUUGUGAACUUCACAUUGCCAAAAAAUUACUUUAAAAAGAGUUAAAGACUGAGAAAAAAAGUUUACCAAUGCUAAUAAUUUUAUAAUACGCAAAUGGACAUGUAAUGACUAUAAAACAACAUUUCUCUGAAAACAGUUUUGUUCUUCAUGUGAUUUUUUUCUUUACAUUUCACUGAGAGUGGCUUUGUAUCUAAGCAUGUUAACAUGUCUUCUUAAUAAAUAUUCCUUAUUGAAACAAAGUAUUUUGGUGAGUUUUUAAAUAAUUAUUUUGGAGCAUGAAGAGACCUUACAGCUUAUGAAAGCAUUCAUCUGCACUGGGAGACUAGGAUAAGGUAACUUGCCCACUGCCUCUGUAUGGGUCACGGGCAAGAAGGGACUCUCCUGACUGCAAUAUUCAGUUAAAUUCACUAGUUAUCAACCCACAGCACUGGGCCAGGUACCACACUUUCCCAAAGACAAGUGUGCUCCUUAUCUAUGGAUAGCCUGAGUCUUAAAACUCAUGUGGAGUCAGUGUUUACAAGACAAAUAAAAUGUUAAUGACAAUUAACUACAGUCAGUGACAUUAAUACUGCUUCUGUAUUUCCAAAUGCAACUUUAAUAUUAAGGGAUAGUAGGUAAAAACUAUGUCACACAUUUGGAAUCACUAACAAAGACCUUUGUUUUCAUUUUGAAUAUUGAAGUGGAAAGAGAACAAGGCUUUGAGGUCAGACCAAUCUGGAAUCAGAGCCCAACUCCCUGAUUUCAUGACUUUGAAUCAGCCACUUCUUUGAACUUUGGUUUCUUCAUCUGUUAAACAAAGAUACUGAGUGAUACCUACCUUCAAGGACUGCUAUGAGUCUGAAAUGGCAGUUUGUACAUAGAAGGUACUUGAUAAGUGCUGGCUCUUUUCUUCCUUCCCAUCCCAUUACAGUGACUAACAUUUUCUGACAUUUUUUUCCCACUGACUACACAUUUGUGUCAUCCAUCUUUGGGGAGCUAGGAGGAGUAAUUAAGAAUUAUUAAUCAUUUUGAAGAUGUUGUAAAUAUGUUGUUAAUACACCAUUUAUUUGAACUAACCCUUUACAUUGCCCCAUCCUUGCAAGUAGCUAGAAUACCUCAUAAAAAGAAACAAAAACUUAAAAUGUGUCCAGCAGACCUCAGUGAUAUACCUAGGACUGAUCUAGGAUACUUAAGGGCUUACUCCUCGGGAUAAAGGUGAAUUAAAGGAAACCGGCCCUUGUGAUUACCUGCACCUGACCAGUUAUUUUAAAAGGCUAAUAAAAUAAAUAGAUUAGGGAGUGCCUUUGAUCCACAACUGUAUAAGGGAAAGGAAGGAAACAAUAUUAGGCAGAGAAACUGAAUUGUGAUGUGUUCUCAAUGGAAUGCCACAUACAUCAAGUUCUGAGAUAGGAUGACCUUUCUUAUCUCCUAACCUGUCCCAAGUUAGAAUAUGAAGCCUGAGUACCCUUUUCAUUUUUGAUACUGGUUAUUUGUACCUGUUUUCCUUUUCUUGUUAGAGGCCUUUGGGGCAGCCAACUGAUGAAUGUGGGAAUGUAAAGGCCCAGCCUUCGUAUUCUAACUUGGGACAGGUUAGGAGAUAGGAAAGGUAAUCCUAUCU